CAGAGUUGAAAAACUCCCAAACCCUUUGCGAACCUUACCAGUCACUUGUUGCUUCGGCAGGCGGCCCCAGGGCGGGGCCGGAGCCUUCACAGGCGCCUGCCGGAGGACCAAAACUCUAUUAUUUUGAAAUUAUCUUCUGAGUCUUCUGAAAGACAAAAUAAGUCA
rnacentral:misc_RNA from 1 species